UCCUUGGUGGUUCAGUGGCUAAGACUCUGAGCUCCCAACACAGAUGCCCUGGGUUCCAGUCCCAGUCAGGGAG
rnacentral:tRNA from 1 species